UUUGUGACGGUACCUAGAUAAGAAGCACCGGCUAACUACGUGCCAGCAGCCGCGGUAAUACGUAGGGUGCGAGCGUUGUCCGGAAUUACUGGGCGUAAAGGGCUCGUAGGUGGUUUGUCGCGUCGUCUGUGAAAUUCCGGGGCUUAACUCCGGGCGUGCAGGCGAUACGGGCAUAACUUGAGUACUGUAGGGGUAACUGGAAUUCCUGGUGUAGCGGUGAAAUGCGCAGAUAUCAGGAGGAACACCGAUGGCGAAGGCAGGUUACUGGGCAGUUACUGACGCUGAGGAGCGAAAGCAUGGGUAGCGAACAGGAUUAGAUACCCUGGUAGUCCAUGCCGUAAACGGUGGGCGCUAGGUGUGAGGGUCUUUUCACGACUUUCGUGCCGUAGCUAACGCAUUAAGCGCCCCGCCUGGGGAGUACGGCCGCAAGGCUAAAACUCAAAGGAAUUGACGGGGGCCCGCACAAGCGGCGGAGCAUGUGGAUUAAUUCGAUGCAACGCGAAGAACCUUACCUGGGCUUGACAUACACUGGAUCGCUGCAGAGAUGUAGUUUCCCUUUGUGGCUGGUGUACAGGUGGUGCAUGGUUGUCGUCAGCUCGUGUCGUGAGAUGUUGGGUUAAGUCCCGCAACGAGCGCAACCCUUGUCUUAUGUUGCCAGCAUUUGGUUGGGGACUCAUGAGAGACUGCCGGGGUCAACUCGGAGGAAGGUGGGGAUGACGUCAAAUCAUCAUGCCCCUUAUGUCCAGGGCUUCACACAUGCUACAAUGGUCGGUACAACGCGCAGCGACACUGUGAGGUGGAGCGAAUCGCUGAAAGCCGGCCUUAGUUCGGAUUGGGGUCUGCAACUCGACCCCAUGAAGUCGGAGUCGCUAGUAAUCGCAGAUCAGCAAUGCUGCGGUGAAUACGUUCCCGGGCCUUGUACACACCGCCCGUCACGUCAUGAAAGUUGGUAACACCCGAAGCCGGUGGCCCAAACUUGUUAGGGAGCCGUCGAAGGUGGGAUCGGCGAUUGGGACGAAGUCGUAACAAGGUACCCGUACCGGAAGGUGCGGGUG
rnacentral:rRNA from 1 species